GGAACCNGCGGAAGGAUCAUUG
rnacentral:rRNA from 1 species